CUUGCCCUCUUUCUGCCUUCCUAACACAUGCAAGUCGAGCGAGAGGCGGACGGGUGAGUAAUGUAUGGGGACUGCCCGAUAGAGGGGGAUAACUACUGGAAACGGGGGCUAAUACCGCAUACUAUCGGAUAACCCAUAUGGGAUUAGCUAGUAGGUGGUGUCCCGGCUCACCUAGGCGACGAUCUCUAGCUGGUCUGAGAGGAUGACCCGCCCCCCGUGGACGGAGCCAAGGCCCAGACUCCUACGGAGGCAGCAGUGGGGAAUAUUGAACAAUGGGCGCAAGCCUGAUGCAGCCAUGCCGCGUGUAUGAAGAAGGCCUUAGGGUUGUAAAGUACUUUCAGCGGGGAGGCGUUACCCGCAGAAGAAGCACCGGCUAACUCCGUGCCAGACGCCGCGGGAAUUC
rnacentral:rRNA from 1 species